rnacentral:rRNA from 1 species
UUAAACUGAAGAGUUUGAUCAUGGCUCAGAUUGAACGCUGGCGGCAGGCUUAACACAUGCAAGUCGAACGGUAACGGGUUGAAAGCUUGCUUUCAAUGCUGACGAGUGGCGGACGGGUGAGUAAUGCUUGGGAAUCUGGCUUAUGGAGGGGGAUAACCAUUGGAAACGAUGGCUAAUACCGCGUAUUAUCGGGAGAUGAAAGGGGGCGAAAGCACCUGCCAUAAGAUGAGCCCAAGUGGGAUUAGGUAGUUGGUGAGGUAAAGGCUCACCAAGCCUGCGAUCUCUAGCUGGUCUGAGAGGAUGGCCAGCCACACUGGGACUGAGACACGGCCCAGACUCCUACGGGAGGCAGCAGUGGGGAAUAUUGCGCAAUGGGGGGAACCCUGACGCAGCCAUGCCGCGUGAAUGAAGAAGGCCUUCGGGUUGUAAAGUUCUUUCGGUGGUGAGGAAGGUUGUGAUGUGAAUAGCAUCAUGAUUUGACGUUAGCCACAGAAGAAGCACCGGCUAACUCCGUGCCAGCAGCCGCGGUAAUACGGAGGGUGCGAGCGUUAAUCGGAAUAACUGGGCGUAAAGGGCACGCAGGCGGUAAAUUAAGUGAGAUGUG